ACUAGGGAUAACUGGACAUUCAAGAUCAUGAAGUCGAUCAGGUUCGGAAGAAAGCAGUCGUAGUGAACACCGGGUGGGUCGGUUGUCCUUGGUGUU
rnacentral:SRP_RNA from 1 species